UGGUAGUAGGUAGACACGUCCCUGAUCAUGGACACAAAAAUGUGGUCACAAAUGGGGCAACAUGGUACGAAUUCCAACGCCACCAGCCACACGCCCCUUUUGUAGUUAAACAGUUGUAGCUACAAUCGUCAUGACCGCAUGCAGCUUCAUCCGAACCAAAAUUGUCGACCCUAAGAUCAACUCCCGGUCGGGGCAAUUUUUUUUCUUUGUCGCUUAUUUUUGUCACCCGUUAGGCAGGACCGAGCUUAGACCUCGGCCCCGGAGGAGCAAGCUGGUAGCCGAGCGUAUUAAAGCGUGAUCGUUGGCAGAUCGUGGGGAUGGGCGGUAGUUCGAACCCCGUCCGCGAUCAUUUUUCCUGCUCUGCUGGCCAAGUGUCUUCGGGCGUCAGUCACAGCCGAGAUCUGGAUGCUACCGCUAGUUGUGCUCUGUAUGUAUCAUGUAUCGUUCAGUCGUGGCCAAGUUCAAGUUCAAGGGGCUGUCAAAAUAAGAUACGGUUUGGCCGACCGACCGACCGACCGACCGUCAACCUCGGAACGACCAGGACGACCGAAAUAUCGUGUUCGGGGGUUUUCUCGCACGCUGAGUCCAAAUCUGGUAGUGCCGAUGUCGUCCGGGCCCCCGGGGACGUCAGUGGGGACCUUCCCGAGCACGCCCAUGACCCCCCCACGACAAAUACGAUUCGGCUCCAAACGUUGUUACACACGGGAUAGUGUAUAUUUCUUAAAAGUCGCCAAAUAUAAUUAUUAUUAAUAGCAAAUCGCCCAUCAUAGUUUAUUAUCCUGAUCAUUUCACUAUUGUCACAUGGCACUUCCCUGGCGUUGCCGCCUGGAGCCACUCACACAACGAUGCACGGGACGGGAAGCAUCCCCAAAGGAUCACAUCUUGGACAAGCGAGGCGGGAUUGCCUACCCCAGGAAAGAAUAACAUCCCGCGACCACGAUAUGCCGGCGAGUGUUCCGUAAUUAUUGCUCUCCCCCUUUGCCGUGCCGCGUCCCCUACCCCUUCUCCUCCUCCCCACCGCGCCCCGCGCCUUUAUGGAAACGUAAACAAACAGUGAAAAUCGGCCAAAUACCGAUAAUACCUACUCAUAUAAUUGAUGAUGAUAGGAUUUUAACCAGAAUUUUAGAGUGGAUAUCGCCGCUGUUCGAUAUUAAUUGUAAGGAACUCGGCCCAGAAAUGUUCUUGACAUGAGCAAGAGAAGUCUAUGGAGUCAUUUUACCCAAAAGAAUAGG